GGGGGCCCGCAAGCGGUGGAGCAUGUGGUUUAAUUCGAUGCAACGCGAAGAACCUUACCUACUCUUGACAUCCAGAGAAUAUAGCAGAGAUGCCAUAGUGCCUUCGGGAACUCUGAGACAGGUGCUGCAUGGCUGUCGUCAGCUCGUGUUGUGAAAUGUUGGGUUAAGUCCCGCAACGAGCGCAACCCUUAUCCUUUGUUGCCAGCGAUUAAGUCGGGAACUCAAAGGAGACUGCCAGUGAUAAACUGGAGGAAGGUGGGGAUGACGUCAAGUCAUCAUGGCCCUUACGAGUAGGGCUACACACGUGCUACAAUGGCGCAUACAAAGAGAAGCAAACUUGCGAAAGCUAGCAGACCUCAUAAAGUGCGUCGUAGUCCGGAUUGGAGUAUGCAACUCGACUCCAUGAAGUCGGAAUCGCUAGUAAUCGUGGAUCAGAACGCCACGGUGAAUACGUUCCCGGGGCCUUGUACACACC
rnacentral:rRNA from 1 species